rnacentral:rRNA from 1 species
ACGCUGGCGGCAGGCCUAACACAUGCAAGUCGAGCGGUAGCGCAGGAGAGCUUGCUCUCUGGGUGACGAGCGGCGGACGGGUGAGUAAUGUCUGGGAAACUGCCUGAUGGAGGGGGAUAACUACUGGAAACGGUAGCUAAUACCGCAUGACCUCGCAAGAGCAAAGUGGGGGACCUUCGGGCCUCACGCCAUCGGAUGUGCCCAGAUGGGAUUAGCUAGUAGGUGGGGUAAUGGCUCACCUAGGCGACGAUCCCUAGCUGGUCUGAGAGGAUGACCAGCCACACUGGAACUGAGACACGGUCCAGACUCCUACGGGAGGCAGCAGUGGGGAAUAUUGCACAAUGGGCGCAAGCCCGAUGCAGCCAUGCCGCGUGUGUGAAGAAGGCCUUAGGGUUGUAAAGCACUUUCAGCGAGGAGGAAGGCGUUGUAGUUAAUAGCUGCAGCGAUUGACGUUACUCGCAGAAGAAGCACCGGCUAACUCCGUGCCAGCAGCCGCGGUAAUACGGAGGGUGCAAGCGUUAAUCGGAAUUACUGGGCGUAAAGCGCACGCAGGCGGUUUGUUAAGUCAGAUGUGAAAUCCCCGAGCUUAACUUGGGAACUGCAUUUGAAACUGGCAAGCUAGAGUCUUGUAGAGGGGGGUAGAAUUCCAGGUGUAGCGGUGAAAUGCGUAGAGAUCUGGAGGAAUACCGGUGGCGAAGGCGGCCCCCUGGACAAAGACUGACGCUCAGGUGCGAAAGCGUGGGGAGCAAAC